rnacentral:rRNA from 1 species
UAGAUGCUUACCAUGCGAGUCGAACGAUGAAGCCCAGCUUGCUGGGUGGAUUAAUGGCGAACGGGUGAGUAACACGUGAGUAACCUGCCCUUAACUCUGGGAUAAGCCUGGGAAACUGGGUCUAAUACCGGAUAGGAGCGUCCACCGCAUGGUGGGUGUUGGAAAGAUUUAUCGGUUUUGGAUGGACUCGCGGCCUAUCAGCUUGUUGGUGAGGUAAUGGCUCACCAAGGCGACAACGGGUAGCCGGCCUGAGAGGGUGACCGGCCACACUGGGACUGAAACACGGCCCAAACUCCUACGGGAGGCAGCAGUGGGGAAUAUUGCACAAUGGGCGCAAGCCUGAUGCAGCGACGCCGCGUGAGGGAUGACGGCCUUCGGGUUGUAAACCUCUUUCAGUAGGGAAGAAGCGAAAGUGACGGUACCUGCAGAAGAAGCACCGGCUAACUACGUGCCAGCAGCCGCGGUAAUACGUAGGGUGCGAGCGUUAUCCGGAAUUAUUGGGCGUAAAGAGCUCGUAGGCGGUUUGUCGCGUCUGUCGUGAAAGUCCGGGGCUUAACCCCGGAUCUGCGGUGGGUACGGGCAGACUAGAGUGCAGUAGGGGAGACUGGAAUUCCUGGUGUAGCGGUGGAAUGCGCAGAUAUCAGGAGGAACACCGAUGGCGAAGGCAGGUCUCUGGGCUGUAACUGACGCUGAGGAGCGAAAGCAUGGGGAGCGAACAGGAUUAGAUACCCUGGUAGUCCAUGCCGUAAACGUUGGGCACUAGGUGUGGGGGACCAUUCCACGGUUUCCGCGCCGCAGCUAACGCAUUAAGUGCCCCGCCUGGGGAGUACGGCCGCAAGGCUAAAACUCAAAGGAAUUGACGGGGGCCCGCACAAGCGGCGGAGCAUGCGAUUAAUUCGAUGCACGCGAAGAACUUUACCAGGCUUGACAUGUUCUCGAUCGCGUAAAGAUACGGUUUCCCUUUGGGGCGGGUCCAGUGUGCAUGAUGUCGUCAGCUCGUUCUGAAUGUGGGUAGUCCGCACGAGCCAACCUCGUCCAUGUGCAGCGUCAUGGUGGGGAACUCAUGGGAACUGCGGUUCACUCGAGGAGGUGAGAACAGCUCAUCACUAUGCCCUUAGCCUGGCUACGCAUGCUCAAAUGCGUCACAUGUGCAUCUUGGAGGUGGACUAUUCAACGCUCAUCGAUGGUCGAACUGUCCUGAAUCGGAAUCGGA